GCCACACACCACGGUGCCUAGUGCUAGCCAGAGCAACUGCCCCAGCGUACUGGAGGCCUCAGCACAGACACAGCCCUGUGGAGGGUGGAGCUGUUUGGGGGGAGCCUGCACAAAGUGACUGGAGCUCUUCCUGGAGGCUGGGGCUGUUGAGGCCGCAGCAGCACCUGCAGGAGUUGUGCUCUGGGCAGGUCCCCGAGCUGCUGGGUGAGCAGGCUGUGUGGCAUCAGGAAAGGCCAACAGGAACCAAAGGUACUUUGUGGCCGUCGUAGAAGCAAGGACCCCCAGUCCCCCAAUGCAUGUAAGGAGGGGAGGAUCAGAGGUAAUGCUUAAGCAGGGGGAGGACUGAUUUGUGUGAGAUUAAACAAGAAAGCUUUUUCUCCAACUGCAGAUGUUUACUUGGAGAACUGUAGUGCCUUUGCAACAAGUUGGAGUGAGUUAUUGAGGGAUACACCUAGCCAUGACAUUGGAGCCACUGAUGCUAGAGAAAGUGACAGGUAGCAGUAGUCAGGGACUUGCUUCUGCAAAGGGUUUGACAGCACCCCCCUGCCAGUCGGAUCUGUUGUUUUGGGAAUUUUUCCCUGCCCCGUUCUAUCUCUAGUACAUUGUUGAGAGGCUGAGGCUGUCAGGCUACAACUUGUUUCUCACCUGUGCAGACCUGGAGACAUUGGAGGGGAUCUAGAGUGACUGCAGGACCUGGGUCUCAGCUGAAGGAUACGGGAGUGACUGGGCCUCAUCUCAAGUUCUCCUUCGUGAACAAAUGUGCAGCAAUAGACACAAGGAAUGGGAAGUCUGCAGUCACAAAGCUAUGACAUCGCAGCAUGACAGGAACAUGGUGGGGUUGCACUAUUGGAAUGCUACAAGGGAUGGACACAAGUUUGGCCAGCAGGAGGAAGCAGACAGAGCCACGACUGCUUUGCAUGAGGCCACAGAGACCGGCCACAGAGACCAGCCACAGGAAGCAGCUGCAGAUCGUGGUGAGGGCAUCCUGGCUAGUACCUCGGUGGUGACUCCUGGGAUGGGCGCGAAAGCUUCAGGGCAGUGAGAGCCCACUGGAGAUGAAUGAUGGACCAGUGAAAAUGUUGGUGUCUGCCAGCCCUGGUCAACGUGCUGUGAGGAAGCUGCAGUGAAACAGGAAGUGGUUAAUAUUAGCACACUUUCCCAAUUCUCAACGGUGGAGACAACCAAAACAUCCUGGGGAGGAGGGAGCAUGUACAGCCAGCAGUUGCCAGCUGUCCAGAGUGCAUUCUCACAGACACCCUUCCUUCAUUCCUUCAGUAAAGAAAAACAUGUCUCUACUGCGCAAAAUAUUGUGAAGAAAUGAGUAAGGUGGCUGGUUGGGCAUCUAAAGCAGUCUACCUUGGAGCAAGAUAAAUGGAUGCUAUGGGGGUUGUACUGUGUCUGGUACCUGAGCUAUCUGGCACAACUCUGCACCGAGUAAGGAACAUAUCCUCAGAGACCAGUUAAAAAGUCUUGGGCUUGCUGCAGGUGGGGAAGUUUCCUUGACAAGGCCAAGAACCAUAACCAAGUUUCUGUUUUUCCAACUCUAAGUUUGAAUCAAUGCCAAAAUGCCUACAUAACUGAAUCUGGCCUUUUCUGCUACCAGUGCCACCUGGCAAGAGAGUUACACAUGGAUAUUUGGGCUAAUGAUGUACCAUGCCUUACUAUCCAGUCUGUUGCUCCAUAAGAGCAUUCCAGCAGCUUUAGCUGUGCUUUAUGGUUCUCCAGCAUACCUGCCCUACAGUGCUAUCAGGUGCCUGCCUUAAUGCGAGCUAGGGUAUAUUUAUGGAAAAAAACACAUCAUCUCUAAGAAAUGAGGUGUAAGGACAUGCUUGCAUUGUCUGUGCAGCACAGAAUUAAUCAACAGCAGUAGCCAAUUUGCUGUUCCUGUGAAGAAACGAUCAGUAAUGUACCUCCUGUUACUUGAUGUUUUUUUUUUUCUUUCUUUGCCAGUUCUAUGAUCACAGUGGAAACAUAAGCUUUAUCAAAGCACUAACCGCUGGUAACUGCAUGCACAAGACCUAGAGAUCAGAUGAUAACAGCAG
rnacentral:lncRNA from 1 species